rnacentral:rRNA from 1 species
UGGGGAAUAUUGGACAAUGGGCGCAAGCCUGAUCCAGCCAUACCGCGUGGGUGAAGAAGGCCUUCGGGUUGUAAAGCCCUUUUGUUGGGAAAGAAAUCCAGCUGGUUAAUACCCGGUUGGGAUGACGGUACCCAAAGAAUAAGCACCGGCUAACUUCGUGCCAGCAGCCGCGGUAAUACGAAGGGUGCAAGCGUUACUCGGAAUUACUGGGCGUAAAGCGUGCGUAGGUGGUCGUUUAAGUCUGUUGUGAAAGCCCUGGGCUCAACCUGGGAACUGCAGUGGAAACUGGACGACUAGAGUGUGGUAGAGGGUAGCGGAAUUCCUGGUGUAGCAGUGAAAUGCGUAGAGAUCAGGAGGAACAUCCAUGGCGAAGGCAGCUACCUGGACCAACACUGACACUGAGGCACGAAAGCGUGGGGAGCAAACAGGAUUAGAUACCCUGGUAGUCCACGCCCUAAACGAUGCGAACUGGAUGUUGGGUGCAAUUUGGCACGCAGUAUCGAAGCUAACGCGUUAAGUUCGCCGCCUGGGGAGUACGGUCGCAAGACUGAAACUCAAA